CCCAACUUAUGGUCGAUUUUCCGGCCAGAAAUCAAAUUCCAGAUUAUAUGAGGGAAGCAAUCGAUAUUUGUUGUAAUAAAUUCACGGACAUGGGUGACUUAAUAAUUGACAUGGGACAUAUAUCGUUAACCCGACGCUAUCUUGAUGAAUUACUCACCAACGGGUGGUUAGGAAAUGAACACGUCGACUGUUUUGCUAUGUUGCUGGAGCAUAAGCGGAGCAAGAAUCCGGAACAAUACCGAUCUUACCUAUAUGUAUCUCCAUGCCACUGGGUAAAUUUUUAAAUUACUUUUACAUCAAACAUAUAACCAUAUUUCUUUUUAUUAAGUAGUUGUCUUAUGCGAUAUAUAUCGUUCUCUGCAGCUGUACAAGUUCGGUAACGUAAAAGGCUUCGUUGAACACAUUACGAAGGAGACCACAAAAAAUGUGGAGUUAAUUUUGAUACCUAUAAUCAAUAAUCAACACUGGACACUACUUGUUGGAUCAAUCAAAGAUCGCAAGUGGAGAUUAUAUGAUUCAUUGCCAAACAGAAUGCAUUUGCAUAUAACUGAUGCCAUCAUUAAACAUUUACUAAGCGAUGUUGGGGAAGCUUUUGAAUUUGAUCUUAGUAAGUGGCAAGUUGUAAUGCCUAGAGGCAUUCCAGUGC